CCGCUGCGCCGCCGCUGCCGCCGCCGCCGCUGCCGCCGCCUCACAGGGCUCGGUCGCCCGCGCGUCUCCUCGAAACUACAGCCGCUGUCACCGCCGCCUCUGUCGCUGCCUUAGACUCAGAUGCAGACACCAAACCCGGCGGCGCCGCCAUCUUUGUUUUCACUGCUCGCUCCCUCUCCCGCCCCCCCACCCCCCGCGGAGGCGGUGGUGGCGACGCCCAUCACGUGACCCAUAACCUCGACCAAUCAGCAUUCCGCUUGGGAGGGGGAGGGGAAAGAGUGGAGGGAGGUUGAGGUGGGGGCGGAAAUCGAGGUCUAGAGUUGGAGCUCCAGUAAUGGGCCAAUCGGGGCGAGGAGGAGGGAGCCUCAUAGACUCCGCCCCCUCCUGCCCCCGACUUUUUCCCAGGCCCCUGCCCCACCCUACCUCUGAGCACAGGAAGAGGCUAUGAUCUAGCGGGUAGGGUUAGAGGGAGCAAGAGCAGAGGGAGAGACUAGAAGAUCCUGGAAGGCCGAGGACUGCAAAAUUCUCCCUUUCCUAUUCCGAGCCCCCAGGGAUAAGGAAACGUCGGCUUCCCAUAUUUUUCCACUUCCCGCCCUUCUGACCGGAUUAAGAAGAAAGGAAUUGUGUCUAUUUUCCAGACGCUGGAAAUCCCGUCCUUGGUAAACUCAGAACUAGGGUCUCCUACGAGAUGCAGCUUCCUGAUCUCUCGAGGUGGCAGAGCUCCAAGGAGGGGUUAGCAUGAAACUGUGGGCCUGCAUUAAAUAAAGACCCUUUGGAGAAAGCUGAGAUAAAAAUUAAGUUCCUUUUAAAAGUAUUGGGUACCACCAUCCUUGUAGUUGGAGAUGAGCAAGGUAACUUCAGAGGGGAAUGUCAACGCAAGAAGAAAGGUCGUGUCUUUGACCAGAACCGAUUAUAUGGACACGUUGGAAAACAACUGGACUACGAAAACCUUUUCCCUCGCCCAGCUUGGCUGGCCAGUAAUGAUGAAGGUCCCAGGGCAUAAAGAUCUCAAAUAUGAUAGAUGGAAGCUAGGCCAGGGUAGCUUCUUUUCUUCAAAAGUCAAUAAAUGAAAUAUAUACUAAUUGCUUAUAUGUUGAGCACUGUGAUGGGAGAAGAUAAAAAAUACAAAGUCCCUUUAUGAAGCUCAAUCUUAGGUAGAAGAGAUAUAUCUAGGAAUAAGGAAAGGAUUUCUAAUUUCAUUAUUAUUGAGAAGUCCCAACUGACUUCCAACUCAGUACUUUCUUUGUACUAAGAGAUGGAGUCAUUUGGCAAGCAUGUGUCAGAAGGAGAAUGUUGACUUAAGGCCUCCCAAGGCUCUGUCUAUCCUCCAUGCCACAUUGCCCCAAAAAUAUAAAUGUAAUAUACAGUAUUCCAGCGUACAGAAGUACAAUGAAAAAAACGCUGUAUAAACUCUAAUGGGAUAAGAAGUCUGUUGGAGGAAGUGGUGGGUCCUACUUCCCCAUUAAGUUCCCCAAACUGGACUUACAUUCCCCCUGAGCUAUUUCAAAGCCCAUUAUAAUCUUAUCCCAAUUGCCAAUCAUUGCAAUCUACUUUCUAAUGAAACUGGCUUACAAACGUUUACUUAGAAUUUCCUGUUUUCCUUUUCUUUACUCAUUGCCAUUCCUUCUGUCUGGAAUCAUCUAAUGAAAUCACCAUCUAGUGAAAUCCUGCUCAGCUCAAAUACCUAUUUCUCCAUGUAACCGUUAGCUGAUUCAGCCUAUAAGAAUAUUUCCUUUCUCUGUACAUUUUUUCCUGUUCUCUGUAUAGAAAUUCUAUAGAAUUUGCUAUCUAUGCCCUCUCUAGCCCUUAAUUUUAUUUUUAAAAAUAUAUUAA